UUUGAAAUCUGGCCCCCAGGGUCCGAGUUGUAAUUUGUAGAGGAUGCUUUUGGCGAGGCGCCUUCCGAGUUCCCUGGAACGGGACGCCACAGAGGGUGAGAGCCCCGUCUGGUCGGAUGCCAAGCCUAUGUAAAGCUCCUUCGACGAGUCGAGUAGUUUGGGAAUGCUGCUCAAAAUGGGAGGUAUAUGUCUUCUAAAGCUAAAUACCGGCCAGAGACCGAUAGCGCACAAGUAGAGUGAUCGAAAGAUGAAAAGCACUUUGAAAAGAGGGUUAAAAAGUACGUGAAAUUGUUGAAAGGGAAGCGCCUAUGACCAGACUUGGGCCCGGUGAAUCAUCCAGCGUUCUCGCUGGUGCACUUUGCCGGGCACAGGCCAGCAUCAGUUUGGCGCGGGGGACAAAGGCUUCGGGAAUGUGGCUCCCUCGGGAGUGUUAUAGCCCGUUGCGUAAUACCCUGCGCCGGACUGAGGUACGCGCAUUGCAAGGAUGCUGGCGUAAUGGUCAUCAGCGACCCGUCUUGAAACACGGACCAAGGAGUCGUCUUCGUAUGCGAGUGUUCGGGUGUAAAACCCCUACGCGUAAUGAAAGUGAACGCAGGUGAGAGCUUCGGCGCAUCAUCGACCGAUCCUGAUGUUCUCGGAUGGAUUUGAGUAAGAGCAUACGGGGCCGGACCCGAAAGAAGGUGAACUAUGCCUGUAUAGGGUGAAGCCAGAGGAAACUCUGGUGGAGGCUCGCAGCGGUUCUGACGUGCGAAUCGAUCGUCAAAUAUGGGCAUGGGGGCGAAAGACUAAUCGAACCUUCUAGUAGCUGGUUUCA
rnacentral:rRNA from 1 species